AGUUGCAGUGUCAAGCAAGUGGCUCGAUGGUUUUCGAAAGUGGUAUUAUGAUGCGGAAGGAUUCAAUAAACAGCAAACUGGCUAAUAUGAGAUGGCACAGCAUAGGAGACUGAAUGAAGUCAUAAGAAGGCUUCCUGAGGACCUUUGUAGCAACAGAGUCUCACAUUAAGAGAGCCCUGGACCUGACCAUGAGGCACCAGGUCAUGCCUGUGGAGUCGUGGACAAAUAUGAGGCAGUGGAUCAGGACAAAUUCUACCUUGGGCCCUAUCUGAAAGAAAGGAGAAAGAAGAAUGGGCAAAAUGUGAUCUGUAGUUGAGAUCUGUGGCUAUGCCUCCUUUCAACGUAUUUUUAUGAAGUUGGUUGAACCCAAAUCACAAUUUAAGAAUUAUUUGCCUGCAGAUUCCUCACUUUAAAUAAA